rnacentral:rRNA from 1 species
AUGACCUCGGGCAUCUCCUUGUAUGCUAAUGAUGUGGUCAUCUUCUGUCACCCUGACCCGCAUGAGCUCAUCGUCGCCCGUGAGCUGCUUCGCAUUUUUGGUGCUGCCUCCAGCCUUCACACAAACUUCCAGAAGUGCUCUGCCAUGCCUAUCCAGUGCUCUAACGCGCAACUGGUGCAUAUCGCGGGCACGCUCUCCUGCCCGAUCAUGCACUUCCCGAUCACCUACUUGGGCAUUCCCCUCUCGGUUCAGAAAGUCUCUGCGGCUGCUCUUAUGCCUCUGGUGGAGCGCAUGGCCCGCAAGCUUCCUACUUGGCGCGCUUCGCUUCUCUCCCGCGGCGAGAGGCUGGCCUUCGUCCGUCAUGUCCUCGCUGCUAUGCCCACCCACCUCCUCAUGGCCAUGGCUCUGCGGCCUUCCAUCCUCAAGAAGAUCAACCGCAUCAUGUGCGAGUUUCUUUGGCACGGCGGCAGCGAUUCCUCGGGCGGUGGCAAUCUUGUCAGCUGGCGCAAGGUGUGCCGCCCCCUGGAGUAUGGGGGCUUCGGCAUUCGGGACCUGCAGCUCACGCGCAUUGCUCUCCGCGCUCGCUGGCUUUAG